UGUAAAAUAAAUUAAAAUAAAAUUUGUGACCCUGAUACAAAGUCCAGGGGUUAAUUGCAGUUUACAGUGCAUUGGGAGCAAGGAUUAAAGUGCCAAUCGGUACGUGCCGUAUCCAUCGUACCGUAUUGUAUCAGCAAGAUAUCGGCACGAUACAGCCCCAGUACCGAUGGCACAAUUCAAAACCCUCUAUUCUUAAAAUUAGUAAGUAAUUUUCUCAACAAAAUUCAAAAAAUUUGAUAAAAAUAUAUAAAAAAUAAUUGGCAUAAUUUGUUGUUAAAGAAAAUAAAUAUUUUAUGCCAUUACAUGUCAGUACACAUAUAUUUUUUGUGACCAACACGCAUCCGCAUGGCUCGGCACGCACCGUGCCGGCAAGUUUCCGGCACAACUCCAUGCCAAGGCACUUAAAUCCUUGAUUGGGAGCAUCCAAUAAUUUGUAGUAGGAGAGAGAAGUGAACAAUACUAACUAUUAGGGCAUAUUCGAUUCAUGAUUGUAAUAGAAAUAUAAAAUAAAAUCGGACUGCAUUGGAAUGGAAAAUAGAACAGCGAAUCAUUCAAAAAUAUUUAGUUUAUUAUUGAAAUAAAAAACAGAAUGAAUAUCUAGGAUUUUGAGAGAGGAUUCUGGUUAACGGAAAAGAGAAUGAUGAACAUAGUUAGUUAAUUCGCAUUUAAUACGCGAAUUAUUCGCGAACUUUUGAAUACACGAAUUAAACGGACCGUUCCGUAUUUUUUCGAAAAGUUCGAACAAAAACGCGUCUUCAUCCACAAAAAUAAUUAUUCGCGAAUUAUUCGCGAUUCGGGAAUUAUUCGCCCA
rnacentral:lncRNA from 1 species